GACGAACGCUGGCGGCGUGCUUAACACAUGCAAGUCGAACGGAAAGGCCCUGCUUUUGUGGGGUGCUCGAGUGGCGAACGGGUGAGUAACACGUGAGUAACCUGCCCUUGACUUUGGGAUAACUUCAGGAAACUGGGGCUAAUACCGUAUAGGAGCUCCUGCUGCAUGGUGGGGGUUGGAAAGUUUCGGCGGGUGGGGAUGGACUCGCGGCUUAUCAGCUUGUUGGUGGGGUAGUGGCUUACCAAGGCUUUGACGGGUAGCCGGCCUGAGAGGGUGACCGGCCACAUUGGGACUGAGAUACGGCCCAGACUCCUACGGGAGGCAGCAGUGGGGAAUAUUGCACAAUGGGCGGAAGCCUGAUGCAGCAACGCCGCGUGCGGGAUGACGUCCUUCGGGUUGUGAACCGCUUUCGCCUGUGACGAAGCGUGAGUGACGGUAAUGGGUAAAGAAGCACCGGCUAACUACGUG
rnacentral:rRNA from 1 species